rnacentral:rRNA from 1 species
UGGGGAAUAUUGGACAAUGGGGGGAACCCUGAUCCAGCCAUGCCGCGUGUGUGAAGAAGGCCUUAUGGUUGUAAAGCACUUUAAGCGAGGAGGAGGCUUUUCUAGUUAAUACCUAGGAUGAGUGGACGUUACUCGCAGAAUAAGCACCGGUUAACUCUGUGCCAGCAGCCGCGGUAAUACAGAGGGUGCGGGCGUUAAUCGGAUUUACUGGGCGUAAAGCGUGCGUAGGCGGCUUUUUAAGUCGGAUGUGAAAUCCCCGAGCUUAACUUGGGAAUUGCAUUCGAUACUGGGAAGCUAGAGUAUGGGAGAGGAUGGUAGAAUUCCAGGUGUAGCGGUGAAAUGCGUAGAGAUCUUGGAGGAAUACCGAUGGCGAAGGCAGCCAUCUGGCCUAAUACUGACGCUGAGGUACGAAAGCAUGGGGAGCAAACA